GUGCGAAGGUAGCAUAAUCAUUAGUCUUUUAAUAGGGGUCUGGUAUGAAUGGUCGCACGAGAAUUUAACUGUCUUUAUUUUAAAAAUUGAACUUAACUUUAAAGUUAAAAGGCUUUAAUGUACUAGGGGGACGAUAAGACCCUAUAAAGCAUUGUGCUGGGGCGGCAUGGAUAUAAAAGUAACUGUUUAAACUUAUAACACUUAUAUGUGAACUGAUCCUUAUUAGAGAUUAAAAGAUAAAGUUACUUUAGGGAUAACAGCGUAAUCUUUCUUGAGAGUCCAAAUCGAGAGAAAGGGUUGCGACCUCGAUGUUGAAUUAAAAUUCCUUUCUAGUGCAGAAGCUAGAAUAGGAGGUCUGUUCGACCUUUAAAAUUUU
rnacentral:rRNA from 1 species